rnacentral:rRNA from 1 species
UACGGAGGGUGCAAACGUUGUUCGGAAUCACUGGGCGUAAAGCGCAUGUAGGUGGUUUGGUAAGUGGGCGAUUAAAGACCAGGGCCUAACCCUGGGACUGUUACCCAUACUGCCUGACUUGAGGGAGACAGGGGCAAGCGGAACUUUAGGUGUAGGAGUGAAAUCCGUAGAUAUCUAAAGGAACACCAAUGGCGAAGGCAGCUUGCUGGGUCUCUUCUGACACUGAGAUGCGAAAGCGUGGGGAGCGAACGGG